AGCCUGAACGCUGGCGGCGUGGCUAAGACAUGCAAGUCGCACGGGGUAGCAAUACCCAGUGGCGAACGGGAGAGUAAUGAAUCGCUAAUGUACCCCGGACUCUGGGAUAGCUACCCGAAAGGGUAGGUAAUACCAGAUGACAUAACCCUGUCGCAUGACAGGGUUCUCAAAGGUCCGCCGGUCCGGGAGCAGGCGAUUCGUAUCAGCUAGUUGGUCGGGUAACGGCCACCAGGCGACGACGCGUAGCCGGACUGAGAGGUUGGCCGGCU
rnacentral:rRNA from 1 species